CCACCUUUAAUUCUACUUAAUGUUUUUUUAAUAAUAAAUAUAUUAUAAUCAUUUUUUACUUGAAAAUUUUAUUAACUUUUAUUAUUACUUUAAGUAUUUUAUGUAUCUACAGGACCAAAAUUUCCUCAGAGCUUUCCUUUUCCUAUAACCCAUAUAUUUGUAAUACACUGUACAAUGUUAUAGUUGUCAAUCAUUUAUAAAUAGUCUGUGAUUUUGGCUUUGAUUUCUACUUUAUAUAGAGAGAUAUUUAAAAAUUUCCAAGUUGUUAAUGGUUUGGGGGUAUUUGUUCUUAAUUUUAGAUAAUGUAACCUCUGUAGUUUCUAUAUUUGGGGGCAUACUGACAUUUUGAUGGCCUGUUGUUAAUUACUUUUUCUGUAAAUAGCCUUAUUGAGAUAUACUCUAAGCUUUACUUAUUUAUAAUGCACAAUUGAGUAGUUUUUAUUUUAUUUAUGGAGUUGUGUAACUAUCACCAUAAUCUAUUUUUAGAUUGUUUUCAUCACUUCCAAAACAAACCUUGAACUCAUUAGUAUUCAUUCCUCUCCUCCCCCACCUCUACUUCUCAGCCUUAGGCAACCACCGGUAUAUAUACUUCCUGUCUCUAUAGAUUUACCUAUUCUGAAUAUUUCACAUAAAUAGUUUCAUGCAGUAUUUGGUCUUUAUGUCUGGCUUCUUUCAGAACAUAGACAUGGGGGUUCAUCUAUGUUAUAGUACAUAUCAGAACUUCAUUCCUUUUUAUUGCUGAGUAAUAUUCCAUUGUAUGAAUCUACCAUAUUUUGUUUACCAUUCUUCAGUUGAUGAACAUUUGAGUUGUUUCUACUUUUUGGCUGUUAUGAAGAAGCUGCUGUGCAUAAUUUUUUGUGUGGGCAUAUGUUUCCUCUCUCUUGGGUGUAUGUGUAGGAGUGAAAUUCCUGGGUAAUAGUGUAGCUCUUUAUUUAACAGUUUAAGAAACGGACAAACUUUUCCAAAGUAGCUGUUAACUUUUCACAUUCCCAUAGGGGUUCCAAUUUCUCCACAACCUCACCAACACUUGUCAUUGUCUCUCUCUCUCUCUUUUUUUUUUUUUGUCUUUUCGAUUAUAGCUGUUCUAGUGGGUGUGAGGCGGUAUCUCACUGUGCUUUUGAUUUGCAUUUCUCAGAUGACUAAUGAUGUUGAGCAUCUUUUUGUAUGCUUAUUAGUCAUUUAUAUAUCUUCCCAUUUUCAACUGUAGAGUAGUGAGAGCACAGAAAUGAAGGAAGAUUAAAGGAACAAGUUGGGAAAAUAGUUAAGAAGGUAACCUCAGUUUCUUUUCCUGUUGCCGUGAGGCAGGUGUGGAGUUGGUGAAAGAGAUAAGUUUUCAAUUGAAUAAGAUUGUAUUAGACUAUAUUAAACUUUUUAAAGACUAAGAUUCACUGAGAAAACUAGGUGAUUCACUUGAUAUUUCCUCCAUGGUCGAUGAGAACUGAGUCCACUGCACAGACUAAAUGAGGCAGUCAUGAGAAAAAUAAAAUUGCUUUUUGCUUGUACCUACUGAUUCCAACUCAUUCAAUAAACCAGGUAUAUUUGUUAUACUUAAAAAAAUUCAUAUGGUAGAAUAAAGGUGGAAAAUGCAUAUCAUAAGGAAAAAAAGAUAAAGUUUGACUGAUCCAGUAGGCCAGAAAAGGAAAAAGAAACAGUCAGAAAUAAUACACAAAAAAAUAAACCCUAAAAUAAGAUUGUCAAAAUAAGACCAAGCUUAUCAGUGCUGACAAUAAAGGGAACUGAUAAAAGCCAUAGACUAUCAGGGGCAAAUUCAAUUAAUAAAAGAUAAAAUCCAGCAAGAAGAACUAAUAGUAAUACAGUGAAAAAGUUAUUUUAAAUAUACAGGGAGGGAAAAAUAACGAACAUUCAUAAUGGCAGUUAAACAUAUCUUACAGAAACAGAUCCAACAGGCAAAAAUAAGGAAAGAUAAGGGAAAUUUAAAAUCAUACAAUUAAUCUGUUAUAUCCCAGAUACCCCUGUACUCUACUCUGUUUCUUUCCCUUCACAACAAAUUUAUCGCAAGAAUUGUCUACUUUUGCUGUCACAGCAAACGUAGAGAAUUUACUUACCUUUCACUCACUUCUCUGCCCGAUUUAAUCUGACCUAUUCUCCCACAGCUCCGAUGAGACAACAAUUACCAAGGUCAGUAAAAUCUUCUAUUUUGCCAAGUCCAUGGAAAAUAUUCCGUGUUACCUUAUUUGACCUCUCAGUAGGAUUUGACAGGGUUGACAAGCCGCUACUACUUGAAACAGUCUCUUCAUUUUGGCUUACAAGACACAAGCCUCCUAUCAUCAUCACCACCAUUCUCCAUCAUCUUUUCCUGGUUUUCUUAUGUCAUUCAGGCUUCCCCCCCACCCCCUAAAUUUCUUUCUGUUACUGACUUCUAAUUCAAUUCCAUGGUAGUUAGAGAACAUGUGAGAAAGCUACAGAGGGUUAGUAGAGUAUCCAAAUGGGUGAGGAUGCUGACUUAAUGCUGGGAGGUCAGAGCAGCCUUCCUUGGAAAAGUGACUCCAGCUGAACUGUCAAAAAACUAGAAAAGGAAGAAGUGUGGAGAAAAACAUUAUAGACCAAAGAAAUGUACACAAAGGCCCUGUGUUACCCAUGGUCAACUGUGUCUGGCAGCAGAUGAUCCUCUUUCUGAUACAUCAAAAGAAGAUUCCUGUUUGGCUGUGAGAAGAAUUCUACUUUUCAGUUCCUGGACAUUGUGGCUGUAGCGAGGAUUGGGAGGGGCCAUUGGAGGAUUGCCAUCCCAGAGGUGAGCAAAGUAGUAGACAUGAGUAUUGACAUCA